rnacentral:lncRNA from 1 species
CAAAUUAAAAGAUAACCUUUCGAUUGUAUAGUUAAAAUAGAAACUAUGGACAAGAAAAGAGGUAAAUAUGAUCAGUAAAUACACAAAGACAAGUCUGGGGGCCCACUGUACAAUCAAAAUAAAGAAGACAAAAUUGAAAAUGAAGACAAAAUGAAGAAGACAAAAUUGCCAUAACCCUGCUGAAACUGUAUGUGUAUGGGGAGUAAUUUCAAUGCCAAUGCAAGCAGAGAACAAGUCUUUCAGCAAUGAGAAAAGCGAUCCAAUCGGUGUUUUUCUGUUGUCUCUGUAGAUUUUUUUUUUAAAUGUAUGGCUUGUUAAUGACUAGUAAGGGUUAAACCUUAUUUUGAUUUUGUUCUUAACUUUUAAAUUGACUUUUUAUUCAUUUUUCCCGUUUUUAAAAUGUGAUGUUUAAUUAUUUCUUAUUAAUAGAAAAAGCUCUUAGUAAAGGUAACAAAAGGAAUGGCAGAAGCCGCAAUUACUUUUGUGCCAACCUAGUAAGAAUAUUGAACAUCUUCCUGUUGUAUUUACCAUAAGCCAUUUCCCAAAUGGUUGUUAUAUAUUUGUAUAUUUUUACAGACUGUAUAUUGGGUAUGUUUAUGCCAUAAAAUCUUCAGUCUUUGUAUUUUCUUUAGUUAUCAUCAUGUUUAGAAGUCCUUCAAUUGGGAAAGGUGAGCUCAGGGGACUUUAUUGAUGGUAACCGACAAGGUGAGCCCGAGCCUUCUCCAUGGUGGUGAAGAAACUGGUGGCGUCCACUAUGUACUCAGUACCAGCAUCACCUCAUUUGACUUUGGUGGGAUCUCUAUCCUGGAAGAUGAUGAUGGCAAUUCCAUUGAUGACAAGCUUCCCGUUCUCAGCCUUGAUGCUGCCAUGGCAUUUGCCACGGGUAGAAUCAUACUGGAAUAUGUAGACCAUGUAGUAGAGGUCAAUGAGGGAGUCAUUGAUGGCGACAGUAUUCACUUUACCAGAGUUAAAAGCAGUGCUGAUGACCAGGUGCCCAAUAUGGCCAAAUCCAUUGACUUGGGCCUUUCCUUCCACCAUAGCGUGUCAGGGAUGCCAAUGGCGCUGCACGAGAAGAUGCAGCUGUCUGUCGAACUGGAGGAGCAGAGAGCCUAUAAUUUUCAUGUUGAACUAUUUUAUGUUAAUUUUAUUAAGUUAUGCUAG